GAAUUAAAACACCAGCUCCCAUAUGAUCACCAAAGUUAAGCAACUUUAAGCCUAGUCAGUACCUAGAUGGGUGAUUACUUGAGCAUACCAGGUGGUGUA